rnacentral:rRNA from 1 species
CCUACGGGAGGCAGCAGUGGGGAAUAUUGGACAAUGGGCGAAAGCCUGAUCCAGCAAUUCCGCGUGUGUGAAGAAGGCCUUCGGGUUGUAAAGCACUUUAGUGGGGGAAGAAACAGCUUGGCCACACCAAGCCUUGACGGUACCCCAAGAAUAAGCACCGGCUAACUCUGUGCCAGCAGCCGCGGUAAUACAGAGGGUGCAAGCGUUAAUCGGAUUUACUGGGCGUAAAGGGUGCGUAGGUGGCUAUUUAAGUCGGAUGUGAAAGCCCGGGGCUCAACCUCGGAAUUGCAUUCGAUACUGAGUGGCUAGAGUUCGGUAGAGGGCGGCGGAAUUUCCGGUGUAGCGGUGAAAUGCGUAGAUAUCGGAAGGAACAUCAAUGGCGAAGGCAGCCGCCUGGGCCUGGACUGACACUGAGGCACGAAAGCGUGGGUAGCAAACAGGAUUAGAUACCCUGGUAGUCCACGCCGUAAACGAUGAGAACUUGACGUUGGUUCGUUUUACGAAUCGGUGUCGCNGCUACGCGAUAGUUCUCCGUCCGUGGGAGGUACGGCCGCGAGGUUAGUAACUACAAUAGAAGUAGACGGCGUGAGACGUGCCGACGGACGACGACGAGGGAGAGG